ACACACUAUGGCAAGAGUACCACAUAUUGGUUCAUCACGAAUUUAGACGAAAAGCGACCGAACCAAAUAUCCCAAAUGUUGGGUACGCAAAACCAAACCGAUCCCGAAAACUUGGAUAACGUGGACCGUCGGAUUUCGAAUUUAGGGAGCGCAAUCCUGUGUCAUUCUGUCAUUCUGAAUUUUUGAGACUCCGCCUCCUACCGCUCCUCUGUCCUCUCGACUCGAACCCUCUCAUCUCUCUCGACUCUGUCUCUCUUCAGCCCACCUUCUUCAAGUCUCUCUGUCUCGACCACAUCACAGACAAACUACACACACCUGCUGCUAUCUCUCUCGCAUUCUCUCGAUCGAGCGACUCUCGAGCCUAAAAUCGAGCACAUCUAUGGAGGAGGGGGAAGCCAGAUCUGUAUUUGUACUCGUGGAAUUUACAUGUGGUCCAUUUGGAGGUGGAUUAUAUGAAAUAAAAAUCCAACAGGGAGGAGAAGUGAUGCGACCUAAGAAACUUGAACCUGAGUUUAAGUUUGUACUCCUUUAGUAUUGUUGGUUUGAGGGUGCGAGAUUGCACAACUCUAAAUUACACUUAGUGUUAAAUAAAGGACUCAUACCUCUUCAUAACCACCCCGCCGAUGACAAGUUCGGCUCAUAUAGGGGACAUAUUUAUGACACAGCGACUAGAUCAUUGGAAACAUUCGAGCCUCCUUUAGCACCUAAGCCAGUUUCAUAUCUUAUGUCUGCAUACGGAAAGCUUUAUAAUCUUGCAUCUCCACAGUGCUUCCGAUUGAUGCCGAAGGUAUUGUUUGAGCGUUAUGAUUCCAAAACUGAUUCUUGGGAAUCUCUUACUCAUUUUGCUUAUUCUCGGGAACGGUCCAACAUGGAGAUAGCAGGUUAUGCUGUUUGUCAUGGAUGUAUUUUGGUUUCAACAUGCAAUUUUCGAUUUGAGUUCAUGGUUUUUCAUAUAGACAGUAAUACCUGGCAUCAAGUUGAUAUAUCUAGAAAGGAAGCUUAUUAUUCUGCUUUUCGAGGGAGGGCCGUGGUUGUAGGCAAUUCUAUAUAUGCCUUAUCUAUACAAUGUGGAAAGGUUAUAGCGUUGUCGCUUAAGAUAAAAAUAGGGAAUGAUGGCCUUGUUACCUAUUCGCUAGAGGAACCAUUCUUUUUGCCAGGACUGGAGAGUAGGGUUGCAGACAGUACGGAAUCUGGUCGUAUUUCCAGGCCAACAGAGUAUUUGGUCCAUUUGGAGAAGUUGGAAUUCUGUCUUCUUCAAUCUUUCUCCGCUGAUUUGGAGGAGUCUCAAGAGAUGUUUAUCACCACAUUCGAAAUUGUCUGUGAUGAUGAAACAAUGCAUAUCAAGACUUUGGAUUCUAGUGUCUGUGAUUUCCACAUAGGACAUUCUGGUAGAAUUCGUAUUUGUUUCAGCUUUAUGCCAAAAUGUGAGGAUUUUGAGCCUGAAGAAGAUGAGAGUUUUCGGUUGGCUCAUAAAAAGUUCUUCAUCUUCUGGAGAUAAAACCAACACAUUACAGAUUACGAUGGUUGGUACUGAGGAGUAUGCUGAAUAUUUAACAUCUGUUCUCGUCACUAGUUACAAAAAUAAAGGAAGGAGAAAAUCAAGCAAGAGGGUUCUUCAGAAGUGGCCCCCUAAGUAUGAGCUUGGGCGACUGGCUGCAGCAUUCCACCCGUUGCCUGUAUGUGUCCAAGCGAUGGUAUUCGUUUUUGUUGUAUACUUCUUAUACAAACAAAUAUCCAUCUAUUAGAUUGUGUAACAGAAAAAAAAAAAAAGUUAGUUUGGCAUUUACUUUUUCCAUGUUAUGGAGUUGUUUAUUGUUUGGUUA